UACGUAGGCAGCGAGCGUUGUUCGGAAUUACUGGGCGUAAAGAGUGUGUAGGCUGUGUUCCCAGUCUGUUGUGAAAUCUCCCGGCUUAACUGGGAGGGUGCAGCGGAAACUAGAAUGCUAGAGGGUGGGAGAGGUAAGCGGAAUUCCUGGUGUAGCGGUGAAAUGCGUAGAUAUCAGGAGGAACACCUGUGGUGUAGACAGCUUACUGGACCACUUCUGACGCUGAGACACGAAAGCGUGGGUAGCAAACAGG
rnacentral:rRNA from 1 species